rnacentral:lncRNA from 1 species
GAGUCUUGUUUCUCUUUUCUCGUGUUUCUAUUCUAGGGUUUCAUCCCUUUGGUCUACCUUUCAUUGGGGCAAGGGAAGACCUCCCUUCUUCAGCCCAGCUUGAGGGUUUCCUCCCUCGUUUUGGUCGGAAUGUAUAUAUUUUUUGUGUUUUUUCGUUAUUGACAACCGAGCUGAUGGGUGAGGGUUGCUUCUAGGUGCUGUCUUCGUUUGUCCUGUUUUUUCUUCUUUCCUUUGGUGUUGCAGAUUGUGUUAUCUCUGAUGUUGGGGCUAUCUCCAGAUUGUGUUCACGGGGCUAGACUUUGUGGUUGUCCCAGUCUUGCAAGGCUCGUAUAUGAGUUAGAGGUCUGCAGUCCCGUCUGUUGUCAUCCUUCCAUGGCUUGGAGUGCUCAAAUCCAUGUUCUCUUCCUAUGUUAUCAGAAGUGGCACAAGAGUUCUCACUAUUGUUCGGUCGCUGCUGCCUUAGAUUUGAUGUCUCUCCUUGGCGAUGGGCAUAAUCUGUGUUUUAUGGGCAUCUUGCUUUUCCAGCUACAGAUCUGGAUUGUGUCUUUGCAUGAAGAAUUUAUUGGCUUUUCCAGCAGCUAUGGUAGCUUGGAGAGGUGAGGAGUCCCUCUUUUCGGCCAGCUCUGAACGUGUUAAAUUUAACGUCUUUUCUCUUCUAUUUUCUCAUUUCUCUUUUCUCUUAUAUUGUGAUUGAAAAGGUGCAUGUGUGCA